GCACUGAUGGGGUAGUGGUAACCUCAGUCGUUGCCAGUUCAUUUGGUCCUAGUUCGACUGGCCGCGAGUUCGAUUCUCGCUCAGUGCA